AUUCUGAGGCUUCGUUGGGUGAGGAGCAGACACCAGUGUUUGUGCCUCUAAACUUCAGAGGACAGAUGUUAAUUUCUGCUGAGAAUUUCCUUAUGCAGUACUGGGUGCAGCUAUAAAUUUCUACAGCUCUGCCAAGGAUUUAUGUUAAUAGAAGCCAUCGCUUAACAUCUUGGGUCUCAACUUAGCUUUAAAAUAGGGAAGAUAAAAUCCACUUCAUAAAGUGGUAAAGUUUGAAUCAACUCACGUAAAGUACUUAGAACAGCAUCAGAAACACGAAAUGCAAGCUGUGCUGCCUGGAGUUGGAGGAGCGGUGAUGCACACACUCCCUCGGCCACCUCAGC
rnacentral:lncRNA from 1 species